ensembl:lncRNA novel transcript, sense intronic to HMX1
ACAGUGGAGCCGUCCGGUCUCCGCACCGCCACCCCGAGAAGGGCGGUGAGCUCAAGCUGCGGGCAGGGCAUGGGGCUGCGGAGAAGGGAGGCGUCUGAUCCGCCCGGGCCUCCUUAGGCUUCUGGAAGGAAGCGGUGUUAACCCGAAGGCUAGAGCGGAGCGAAGCUCGAGGCGCGCAGAUAAGCCCAGUGUGGCCCCAGGAGAGGCAGAGGUGGGCUGCCCAGAAGCCAAAUCCACCGGCCUCCUUCCUCCCCACUCUGCUCCUGCACCCAGCAAGGAGUGGGUCCAGCCAGGAGGGCACACCCCACCACAAGGGGUGCCCCAGGAACCAGAGGGGCUAUUGCACCCCCCACCACCACCACCACCGCGUGACGAAGAGAGGAGGGAAUGGGAGGGCCCAGUGGAAACCGAGUCUUUGAAGAAGCUCGCCCACCCCAGUGUCCCCCCAGGACCUCCCAGUGACGAUGCUCCGAGAGUUUCAUUCUCGACGGGGCCCAGUGGAGGAAUGCACUCAGGACCGACUCCAGGACCUUCGUUUUUCGUUGCCUGGAGCUCAGCGUCC